UUAGAGUUUGAUCCUGGCUCAGCGCGAACGCUGGCGGCGUGCCUAACACAUGCAAGUCGUGCGGAGGGGUGAUGAGCCCCUCAGCGGCAAACGGGUGAGUAACACGUGAGUAACCUGCCCUUGGGAAGGGGAUAACCCUCCGAAAGGAGGGCUAAUACCCUAUACUGCCGGGGACCACUAAGGUCUUCCGGUGAAAGGUGGCCUCUGCUCUGCAUGCUACCGCCCAAGGAGGGGCUCGCGGCCCAUCAGGUAGUUGGUGGGGUAACGGCCUACCAAGCCUAUGACGGGUAGCCGGCCUGAGAGGGUGGUCGGCCACAGUGGGACUGAGACACGGCCCACACCCCUACGGGGGGCAGCAGUGGGGAAUCGUGGGCAAUGGGCGAAAGCCUGACCCCGCGACGCCGCGUGGAGGAAGAAGCCCUUCGGGGUGUAAACUCCUGUCGGGGGGGACGAUGUGCCUUGGGAUGAAUAAUUCCAGGGCAUGACGGUACCCCCAGAGGAAGGGACGGCUAACUACGUGCCAACAGCCGCGGUAAUACGUAGGUCCCGAGCGUUGCGCGAAUUCACUGGGCGUAAAGCGUCCGCAGCCGGACGGGUAAGCGGUGCGUCAAAGCCCACCGCUCAACGGUGGAACGGCGUACCGAACUGCCUGUCUUGAGGCACGCUUAGGCAGGCGGAAUUCCCGGUGUAGCGGUGAAAUGCGUAGAUAUCGGGAGGACACCGAAGCGAAGGCAGCCUGCUGGGGCUGUCUG
rnacentral:rRNA from 1 species